rnacentral:tRNA from 1 species
GUAACUCAGCAGUAGAGUACAUACCUUGCAUGUAUGAGGCCUUGGGUUCAAUCCCUGGC